rnacentral:rRNA from 1 species
GGGAUAACACUUGGAAACAGGUGCUAAUACCGUAUAACACUAUUUUCCGCAUGGAAGAAAGUUGAAAGGCGCUUUUGCGUCACUGAUGGAUGGACCCGCGGUGCAUUAGCUAGUUGGUGAGGUAACGGCUCACCAAGGCCACGAUGCAUAGCCGACCUGAGAGGGUGAUCGGCCACACUGGGACUGAGACACGGCCCAGACUCCUACGGGAGGCAGCAGUAGGGAAUCUUCGGCAAUGGACGAAAGUCUGACCGAGCAACGCCGUGUGAGUGAAGAAGGUUUUCGGAUCGUAAAACUCUGUUGUUAGAGAAGAACAAGGAUGAGAGUAAAAUGUUCAUCCCUUGACGGUAUCUAACCAGAAAGCCACGGCUAACUACGUGCCAGCAGCCGCGGUAAUACGUAGGUGGCAAGCGUUGUCCGGAUUUAUUGGGCGUAAAGCGAGCGCAGGCGGUUUCUUAAGUCUGAUGUGAAAGCCCCCGGCUCAACCGGGGAGGGUCAUUGGAAACUGGGAGACUUGAGUGCAGAAGAGGAGAGUGGAAUUCCAUGUGUAGCGGUGAAAUGCGUAGAUAUAUGGAGGAACACCAGUGGCGAAGGCGGCUCUCUGGUCUGUAACUGACGCUGAGGCUCGAAAGCGUGGGGAGCGAACAGGAUUAGAUACCCUGGUAGUCCACGCCGUAAACGAUGAGUGAUAAGUGUUGG